AGUGCUUGCACUCAAUUGGAAAGAGGAGUGGCGGACGGGUGAGUAACACGUGGGUAACCUACCCAUCAGAGGGGGAUAACACUUGGAAACAGGUGCUAAUACCGCAUAACAGUUUAUGCCGCAUGGCAUAAGAGUGAAAGGCGCUUUCGGGUGUCGCUGAUGGAUGGACCCGCGGUGCAUUAGCUAGUUGGUGAGGUAACGGCUCACCAAGGCCACGAUGCAUAGCCGACCUGAGAGGGUGAUCGGCCACACUGGGACUGAGACACGGCCCAGACUCCUACGGGAGGCAGCAGUAGGGAAUCUUCGGCAAUGGACGAAAGUCUGACCGAGCAACGCCGCGUGAGUGAAGAAGGUUUUCGGAUCGUAAAACUCUGUUGUUAGAGAAGAACAAGGACGUUAGUAACUGAACGUCCCCUGACGGUAUCUAACCAGAAAGCCACGGCUAACUACGUGCCAGCAGCCGCGGUAAUACGUAGGUGGCAAGCGUUGUCCGGAUUUAUUGGGCGUAAAGCGAGCGCAGGCGGUUUCUUAAGUCUGAUGUGAAAGCCCCCGGCUCAACCGGGGAGGGUCAUUGGAAACUGGGAGACUUGAGUGCAGAAGAGGAGAGUGGAAUUCCAUGUGUAAACCG
rnacentral:rRNA from 1 species